CCUCUCAAACGAGCACAUGCAUAAACACCUAUAUCUCUGACUACAUGCAUCCAUUCACACACACAGACACGCUCACGCCACUUCAAACACCCCAGGCGGAGCCUCCGACCAGGGCACGACUAUAAAUCAGCUCCAGUGUGUGUGUGUUUAAAACCUACAGGGAUCCAGUCAAACCUGACAUGUUUUAUGUGCUUCAAAACCUGAGCUAAACUUGUCCCUGGCACAACACGCAAUCUUCUCUCAAACCACUACACCACCAUGCAGCCCAAAACUGCCUCCUAACUGCUUCUUCCCAGGGAAUCUUUGGGUGGAUAAUGUUGAGCCUGGCUUAGCCCUGCUCGCAUGCACAAGCACAUGCACACGAGCACAUAUAUAUACAUAUAUGAACCUGCACAUACACCACUAGUCCUGU
ensembl:lncRNA